rnacentral:rRNA from 1 species
AUUGAACGCUGGCGGCAUGCCUUACACAUGCAAGUCGAACGGUAACAGGUCUUCGGAUGCUGACGAGUGGCGAACGGGUGAGUAAUACAUCGGAACGUGCCUAGUAGUGGGGGAUAACUACUCGAAAGAGUGGCUAAUACCGCAUGAGAUCUACGGAUGAAAGCAGGGGAUCGCAAGACCUUGUGCUACUAGAGCGGCCGAUGGCAGAUUAGGUAGUUGGUGGGAUAAAAGCUUACCAGGCCGACGAUCCGUAGCUGGUCUGAGAGGACGAUCAGCGCCACUGGGAGUGAGACACGGCCCAGACUCCGACGGGAGGCAGCAGUGGGGAAUUUUGGACAAUGGGCGCAAGCCUGAUCCAGCAAUGCCGCGUGCAGGAUGAAGGCCUUCGGGUUGUAAACUGCUUUUGUACGGAACGAAAAGCCCUGGGUUAAUACCCUGGGGUCAUGACGGUACCGUAAGAAUAAGCACCGGCUAACUACGUGCCAGCAGCCGCCGUAA